rnacentral:snoRNA from 1 species
AAUCCAUGCAUAGGACAUUUCUUAAGAAAAUCUUUGAACCUUUCCCAUGUUUCAUACAAUGUUUCAUCCUCUAGUUUCUUGAAGGAUGUUAGUCAUUUCUCAGUUU